UAUUGACCCAGUUUUAAGAUGUAAAGUUAUCUAUGUGUACUUUGUUAAAUAUUUCCCAAUUAUUUAGUAUUCUAGUCAGCUGCACUCGCAUGUGUUUGACAUCUGUACCACAAGGUGGAGACAGGCUACUUCUCACCAUACGGUUCCAUUCAUAGACCCACUUCUUUUGGGCAUUCAUUCUCCAAUUACUGGACAGAUAUAUCCAGUCAUAUUUGGAUGGCCAUGGUGCUGCGUGGGUGAAUCUACCAAGCGCCAGGAACCAUGCCAGCAGAGGACAAAUUCUACCAAGUCUUACCAAAGAGGAAGCUUUCAGCACAGGUCCACUGAGGUACCGGAUGUAUGUCAUCCAAACAAACAUUAUCCUAGGCAAGUCUGGAGACAGAGACAGGGACUGAACUUGGGAUUUCACUGUUACGGGGAACUCCCAGUAUUUUUCUGUAGGGACAAAGGGAGAAGAAAGGAAUGUCAACAUUGUGCAUUGAUUACUGGGAGAAAUACCGAUGGAAUGAAAAACAGCAUCUGCAAAAAGUCUUGCAA